rnacentral:lncRNA from 1 species
CCACAUCUGCCUGGGGAACAGAUAAUGGAAAUGAAAAUGAUACCUCGAAGCAUGUGGAGAUAAUGUGCUAAUUCAUCCUCAGCUAGGGACAAGGAGAAAGAAAGCAAAUGGCCGAACUUCGACAGAUUGAACAAAGAAACAGACCAACACCUCUACCUCGUGCCUGCCUGCCGUUGAUGCGAAAAUUAACUUAACACACAAAUUAAACCCUCUUGUUGUCAAAUUGUAGUAUAAAUGCAAGUAGGGAUCAUUCUAAACCGGGGAUUAUGAGGGCUUGCUAAAACCUCUAAACUGACUUAAAAACAUAUAAACAAAGUUAAAACACUAAACUAGACUCAAAGAACUUAAAACAAACUCAAAGGACUCAAAACAAGCUAAAAACGCUCAAAUCUGCCUAAAAACACAAACUGGGCAUAUUUGGACUCUAACACACUUUUGGGACACCUAAAAACACAAAUCAAAACAGAUUUUGACUAAUAAAACACUUUAAAGUAAAGGGGGUUUUGGUUUUGACGAAUUUGAAAACAAAACAAGUAAAUUAAAGAACUAAUGAAAUCUGCACGAAUUUGAGUAAAUUAAAUGGAUGGAAGGCUAGCUAGGAGGUUCUUCUCCACACAUGACAUACUUGCACAUAAACCAAUUUUCAGUUGUUCUUUCGAUCAAUCAUGAAACUCAACACCCAGGGUAAUUAAGUCCGCUUAAAUUAACCUUCAAGUUCUCCUUAAGUUAUUGAAUUGGAUGGGAAUGCGCAUACAAAAAUUCAAGCAUUCUUUAAAAGUUCUUUACGUGAACAUCACAAUAAAGAUACAAUCAAAGAUCAUUAAGCAUUAUGAAAACUAUAAGUAUUGACGAGGCAUUCAUUACUAUGAUGAGCAUGAAACUCCUGCCAAGAAUUUAUUUAACGCAAUCGUUUAUAAGCGACUUCCACUACUUGUGAAUAUAUGUUUGUAACUAUUAGGUGAAACUCCCUUAUACUCUAGCAUCAUAUUCAUGCAUGUAAACUAAGUGUGCACUCUUAAUAAACAUACACGAAUAAGUUAUCAAUCAAGCAGUUCAACAAAUUGAAUUCACAACUUAUGAAAUCACAACUGAAGGUAAUCAAAUCAUAUUGCAAGCAUGAACAUGGUAUCGAAUUCCCCCUAGCUAAGGGGGGUUUAGUUCCUCAUACUCACAAAGCAAAGAUGAACAAAUUUAGACAUUGAAAACAAAAGAAUGAAAACACCUAAAAACGCUCCAACAAUCCAACUUGAAUGGCAAGCACGUCCAAGGGUCCUCCUUCUCUUUGUUGCGGCACAAGGUGUGGUUUGAUGGAUGAGUGGUAAAUUAUGGUGGUGGAUGGAUAUAGGUGAGCUAUGGUGAAGGGUGGAUGGGUGGAUUGUGUUCUCUCUGGUUUUCUUCCCCCUUGUUAUGGUGAAGGGUGGAUGUAUUUAUAGGCUAGGGAGAGGACCACCAUCUAAUUAAGGUGGUAGUGGUGUAUCUUGUGGUAAUGAGUGGAUGUAAUGGGUGUAGUGGGUGAGUGUUGUGGUAAUGAGUGGAUGUAAUGGGUGUAGUGGAUGGAUGUUUGGUAAUGAGUGGAUGUAAUGGGUGUAGUGGGUGAGUGUUUGAUAAUGAGUGGAUGUAAUGGGUGUAGUGGAUGGAUGUUUGGUAAUGAGUGGAUGUAAUGGGUGUAGUGGAUGAGUGUUUGGUAAUGAGUGGAUGUAAUGGGUGUAGUGGAUGAAUGUUUGGAGUUGUAGGUCAACACACUUGCACACACACAUGCUGAUUUCUAGCCUUCAAAUCUUCAAAAAUGUCCAUCCUCAUGUCUCCAUGCUUGCACUAUCCAAUCUUGGCCAAAAAAUGCUCCAAAAUGCUCCAAAUAUUGCUAACUUUGUUAUUUGAACCUACAAACACACGAAAAUAGCUUAAAGUACUAAAAUAACUAGAAUUAAACUAAGUAAAUGGCAAGAAACAAGCUAACUAAGUUGCAUAAA